rnacentral:tmRNA from 1 species
GGGGACGACUGGUUUUGACAGCGAGAUCAGCGAUAAUGUAAGCAUAUCAAGGAGUGAAAUGAUUACUUGUAAAACUUAUUUCAACACAAUAAACGGCGAAGAAAAUUACGCUUUAGCUGCUUAAUCUGAAUCAUAGUAAGAUUUGCCUCGUCUCAAAUAGUUUGAGAAAGCUAAAUGUCCACAAAAAGCCUUGGUUUACGGCGUUUUAGUUUUGGGCAUCGUAAAAGUAAACAUAGAAACUAAGUGGCUUCUACUUAUUUUCGAAACUCUAAGAAGCUAAGUAAAAAGUAGGUGGUCUUUAUCCAGCUUUUUAUCGAAAACUAAGUAAAGACUAAGUAUGUAGAAAGCAUUUGAACUGCUUGUUUGGACCCGAGUUCGAUUCUCGGCGUCUCCACAA